rnacentral:rRNA from 1 species
AUUGAACGCUGGCGGCAUGCCUUACACAUGCAAGUCGAACGGCAGCACGGGAGCUUGCGCCUGGUGGCGAGUGGCGAACGGGUGAGUAAAGCAUCGGAACGUGCCCUGAAGUGGGGGAUAACGUAGCGAAAGUUACGCUAAUAGCGCAUAUUCUGUGAGCAGGAAAGCAGGGGAUCUUCGUACUUUGUUCUUUAGGAGCGGCCGAUGUCGGAUUAGCGAGUUGGUGAGGUAAAGGCUCACCAAGGCGACGAUCCGUAGCGGGUCUGAGAGGAUGAUCCGCCACACUGGGACUGAGACACGGCACAGAUUCCUACGGGAGGCAGCAGUGGGGAAUUUUGGACAAUGGGCGCAAGCCUGAUCCAGCCAUGCCGCGUGAGUGAAGAAGGCCUUCGGGUUGUAAAGCUCUUUCGGCGGGGAAGAAAUUGCACUCUCUAAUACAGGGUGUGGAUGACGGUACCCGCAUAAGAAGCACCGGCUAACUACGUGCCAGCCGCCGCAGUAAAAC